UUGGUCAUUUGCUCAUUAUUUAUGGAUACACUUUUCAUUUCUUUAAUUUGAACUUUUGCGGUUCGUGUUUGGUUCAAAGAUGCAGUUCCUUAUGGUUGCAAAAGCUCACCGAAAAUGAAACAAGCGGUAACACUUUUGCACUCGCGCGAAUGGCUGAAGCAUAUGAAUUCUAGUCAACUUAGCGCGGGCACAUAAACCGAAUUUAAAUUUUUUCUGACGCACGAAAUUCACGCAGACGUUCUAAAUUAGCAGUAUUUUUCAUAAAAAGUAGGCUAAAAAAUAUAAAUUGUGAUAAUUUGUGAAAAUCUGCAUUUGGCACUUAGCGGCCCUGUCAGUUAUAGGACUUUUAGAAAUGGCAAAAUUUAGAUGAGAUAAAAUGAACACUUGGGAAAAGAGGGGUAAGAGGGAAAAUCCUCUUUUCAGGAGUGAGAUGGACUAUACGGUUAGCAUAGAAUACCCAUCCUUAAUUAAAGUUGCCAUUUAAGAAGUUUCAAGCUAUACACACAAGAUGGCAAGCCUAAAAUUGUUGAGUGUAAAAGAUCUACGACACGAUAUAUGCCCCUUAUUUUGACAGUUUGAUUACCAAUUUUUUUUACCGACUCACCUUUGCCACAAUAUUUGCAUUUGAAUGGUUUUUCACCACGAUGUCUUCGCAUAUGUAUUACGAGAUAGUCGUUACGAAUAAACCGCUGGCCACACUCGGAGCACAGAAAUUUCUUUGAGUUUUCAUUAUGAAAUUUAAUGUGUUCGGUCAGAUGCGACUUAGACAAAAA